GUACACAGCAACCAUAUGAUAAUUCAAGUAGACUAUCUGCUCGAGAUUCUGGUUAUUAUGAGGAAGAUGACAAUACUUCUGAGCUUGUAGAUAAUUCGGAUAUUUCAAAGAAGACUGAAAAGGCGCCUAAGAGAAAAGAUAUUUGAGUUUUAGAAAAUAUUCAGAUUAAACCAAAAAGGACCAUUCUUGGCAAAAAUAAUUCAAAUAGCAGCAGAACCAUUGAAGAUUUCAACUAUUUGAACGAUGAGAAUUUCGAUGUACCAUGUAAAAUUCGCCCUUGGCAAGCUACGAUCUACGAAAUAGAAGAAAAAAUGGACAAGGCAUUAUGCGUACUAGAGGACGAUAGAAAUCUUGGCAGGGCAGUGGCGAGUGAUUAAAAUAGAAACCUUCCAAUGUUUCCCGAAACGCCAUGCUUAACGCUUGCAGAAUUUGAGGCAUUUGAUAGCGAAAUUUCUAAAGAUAAUUUUCAGCUUAGAAAAUUUUUGAAUAGAAACUUUGAAGAAAAUAGGAGGUGACACUAUUAAAGAGGCGUCAAGAUUGGUAGUAAGAUUGGUUUUGGCAGACCACUUAUCUCACGAAAUUUCAUGGACCGGGAGAUCUCUACGCGUAGGAAAUAAACUGGAGUUUAGAGCAACAGUGACAGGACAAACUAUCCGGGAUACAAUUUUAUUGGCCGAUCUAAAAGAGAAGGCAACACAGAAGAGGGUUGAGCAAGCUAUAAGUAAUUUUCUACGACGAUCUGGUGACAGAACGCGAUAUGCAAUAACCAUGGCUGCGAAAGCACACUGAAUUGUGAAGAAUGGGAUUCCUAUUUUACAAAAAGAAGUUCAAUGUACAGACAUAUGAAUGAGGUCCAUGAGAUGAAACCUAAUUGUCGUGCAAUGCCGAAAAUAGGGUCCCCUAAGUGCGAUACUUCGUACAGAGAGUAUUCACAACUACACGGCCAUAUCUUUCUGCUUGCCAUAAUGUUUUCAUGGAAACUGAAAAUCUAUACUGUAAAUAUAUAGAAGCAACUAAAGAUAUAGAAAGGAGCAAGGAAUAGAAAGAGAGUACAAAUCGAGAAAGUUGACCUGUCCUUUUCUAAGGAUGGUUAUUAGUUCUACUCACCUUCCAUCUUCUUCUAUUAUAGAAAAGGAUCAACUGACUAAUGUACUAUAAUAUGUCGAUGGUGAAGACGUUACAAAUAACUAGCCACGCAAACAACAAAGCUGUAUCUGCGACGUAUUUUGUAAUAUUAUCUUUCAAAGUAUAUUCUUUGGAAAAUAAUUA